GGUGGGGUGGCAGAGCGGCUAUGCGUUCGCCUGCAGAGCGAAUCAAUAGGGGUUCGAAUCCCCUCCCCACCU
rnacentral:tRNA from 1 species